UUUAACACAUAACAUGUAUACUUACUAGCAUUGUACUAUGCAGGAAGUGUCUAUAUGGUGAUGAAGUUUUAUCCCUCUUCUUCUCUUUAAGGUUCAGUACAUCCACAAAUGCAUCGAUCCCGUUUGAUGCUACACAUUGAUUUUUAUAGAAGCUUUCGAAGACUAUUUUGUAUGCUUCCACCCCAGUUUUUUAUUUGUAAAACAAUGAGCUGCAAUCAAACGUGCAAACAUGUAUCUAAGAAGACUGAACUCGCGAUCCAGAAGUGGUUCACUUAAAGUAACCACUCUGUCACAGUAAAGGGAACAAAAUGUACCACCAGAUUUGGAAUACUUUUUCUCGUUUCGAAUUUUUGCACUUUUUAUUGUUUUAAACAAUAUCUCAUUUAACCCUUUGGCUCAACCUUUGUUUUGUCUCCUUUAUCAUUUGUUCCUGGGUUUUGUUUUGCUUGUUCAUCGGAUGGAUUUGGGUCCGGUUUCCUUUUAGUUGCUGGAUUUUUCCCUUGUGUACUUUAAGUGUUAAAGUUGGAUUACUUCCUUUGUGUACUUUAUGUGACAACUCGUAUUUCAAACC